UACGUAGGGUGCAAGCAUUAAUCGGAAUUAUUGGGCGUAAAGGGCGCGUAGGCGGCUUAGCAAGUCAGAUGUGAAAUUUCGGGGCUCAACCUCGGAGCUGCAUUUGAAACUGCUAGACUAGAGGGUUGGCGGAGAAAACGGAAUUCCACGUGUAGCGGUGAAAUGCGUAGAUAUGUGGAAGAACACCAGUGGCGAAAGCGGUUUUCUAGCUUAUACCUGACGCUGAGGCGCGAGAGCAAGGGGAGCAAACAGG
rnacentral:rRNA from 1 species